AAGAAACUUUAAAGAAAGCGUGCUAAUUCUCGUAUUUUACUCGUAUGUACUCGUAUUUUACUCGUAUUUACUGGUAUGUUACUCGUGUGUACUCGUAUGUUACUCGUGUGUACUCGUAUGUAUUCGUAUGUACUCGUAUGCUACUCGUAUGUACUUGUGUGUUACUCGUAUGUUACUCGUAUGUACUCGUGUGGUGUUUUAGUCACGAUCGUUUAUCGCAAUUAGUUCUAUAAGAUGCACCUCGAUAUAAAUAUACAUUUCAUUUUCACAUUGGUCAUUGGGGAGUUAAGUCCUCAAAAUACAAUGUUGUCUAUAUUGAGCUAUAAAAAGAUUGUAAUAUCACUUUAAUCAUAGACAAUCCAGAAGACAUGUCUUCUGGAUUGUCUAUGCUUUAAUUAAAACGUUUUUUGUUAUUUAAUGUAUACAUUACAGUGAUUUUAAACUUUGUUAUGACGAAAUAUUGUAAAAAUACAUAAUAAUUAUGUUGCGUAUUAUAUUUGUGGCUAUUAGUAAAACACGGAGCACACGGAGUACGGAGCAGUAUAUAAGAGCGUGUAUAUUUGUUACAUGUGCCGACUGCCGUGCAGCACGGCAGAAUAAAUGGGUUAGGUUAAAACGCGGAAGCGGAUGCGGAACAGAACGGAUGCGGAACGGAUAUGCGGAACGGAACGGAUAUGGGGUUAAAAUGCGGAACGGAACGGAUAUGCGGAACGGAACGGAUAUGGAGUUAAAAUACGGAACGGAAAUGCGGAAUGGAACGGAACGGAUAUGGGG